AUCCAGUUGAUGAGUCCCAAAUAGGACGAAAUGCGCAUCAAACUGGAU
rnacentral:hammerhead_ribozyme from 1 species